AAUAUUUGGCUAACAAAGAGUUCAUGAGAUGGUAACAGGUUUCUAAUAGCUUGCAUCUUCAAAACAGUCUCAUCUUUACUUUUUAACAGGAUACUGAAAACUGAAGGACUUAGGGCCACAGGUGAAGUUAAAACUGGGCAAAUAUCAGCACCAUCUUAGGAAAAAUGAAUAGACUUAGCACAGUUCAAGAUCUUUUUUUCAUAUUCUUUCCAGUUUGAGGUUUGACAUAUAACUCCAAGACAGUAAAGAUUUUCUUGCAAGUGACUGGAGGAGUCUCGCAACAGCAAUGGUGACACAAGAGAAACUGCAGAUGCUGGAACUCCGGAGUAACACAAAUAAAAUCCAGGAGGAACUCAGCAGGCCAGGCGGCAGCUCUGGAGGGAAAUGAGCAGUUUAUUUUUCAGGGCAAGAGAGGUCUCAGGCUGAGCAACACACUGGUCACAGUUCUCCAAUCUGAAAAUCAGUGCUUUACCAUCACCCUCUGUCUCCUAACACCCAAUUUUAUAUCCAAUUGGCUAGUUUGCCUUUGGAUCUCAUAUAAUCAAGCCUUCCUGACCAGCCUACCAUGUGGUAUUUGAUAACGGCCUUGCUGUCAUUCAUGUGGACAGCAUCUACUAUUCUGUCUUUUUACAUCUUCUUGGUUGCCAUUUCAAAAAUCUCAAUCAAAUUUGUGAAACAUGAUUUCCUGUGCCCAGAGUCAUGCUGAUGAUCUCUAAUUAUCCCUUGCCUCUGUAGAUGCAUGUAACUCCUUUCUCUCAGAAACUUUUCCAAUAGUUUGCCCACCAGUGAAGUUAGGCCCACUAGUCUAUAGUUUCAAGGCUUUUCCAUGAAGUGUUUCUUCAAUAAAGACACAACUUAGGCCACUCUGCAUUCUUUUGGCUAUCUUUCUGUGGUUAUCGAUGAUACAAAUAUCUCUGCUAGGGACCCCACAAUUUCCUUCUUAGCUUCCUACAAUAUCCAAGCAGAUCCUGGCUCUUUAUAUUGCUUUAUGCAUUUGAAGACCUCCACAACAUUCUCUUCUGCAAUGUGGAUGCUCUUCAAGAUAUCACCAUUAACUGUGGAGAUACAGAUGUCUGAGAUGGAAAAUUCUAGGCUUUAGACUCUGAAUACUUGAAAACACAACAACCAAUGGUUUGAGGAAAGCAUGCAAAUGGCAGAAUUAGAAGUUUUCUAAAAGGGCAUGUAGAGAUAGAAGAGUCAUCAAAGUUUAAGGGCAAAGGAAUGGAGAAACUUAAAAUAAGAAAAAUUCCAACAGCUCGGCCUUUAUAGAAGGAUACAGUUCAAGGCCUAGAAGAUUAACAUUGUGGUCCACAGGGUGUGUUGCUCUGCUGUGUGCUGCUAUGACAACAAUAAAAGUGGCUUUGUAUUCUUUAAGUACAAUGCUUGAGAACUGAUGCCAGAUUAAUUUCUGUAAGAUUUGCUGAUGUGUUGUUAUUUUUGUUAUUAGUAUUUUUAGAAUUGUUAAAUCUGACAACACUCUGUCAUAUAGACUAAUCAUAAGAAUACACUUCAUGUUUUUUCUACCUCAGCUUUAGGUACUGAAGAUAUAAAUAUUAUUUAUUCCAUCCUGUGCUUCUUUUACUGAAUAGAUAUUUGUGUAACAAGAUAAUAACUAAUGCAUGAAAGAGAGACAUUGACCCAAAGAGCUGCAGGAAAGAAAUAUAUAAGCAUUUAAUAUAGCGAUCUAAAAAUCACUUAAAAGGCUAGUUCAUAAAUGCACUUGUUACUAAAUACUGGAAUUUUCUGAGUUUUUGUAAAAUGUGUAAAUGAGUUAUAUGAUGAUGUUUUUUGAGACAUAAAAGAUGUGAGUUUAAUGGAUUUUACAUUGUAUUGCAUGAUACACAUAAAUGACACUUCUUUCGUAAUUACAUUCAAAUCCUGAUAAUGUAACCUUUUAAGUAUUUAUUUAUUGAAAUAGUGCAUGGAAUAGGCCCUUCUGGUCCUUCGAAGCUGCACUGCCCAGCAAUUCCCCAAUUUAAUCCUAACCUAAUCAUGAGCCCAUUACAAUGCCCAAUUAACCUACCAACCGGUAUGAAUUUGGACAGUGGGAAGAAACUGGAUCAGCUGAAGGAAACCCAUGCAUUGACGGGGAGAACAUACCAACUCCUUACAGGCAGCGGUGGGUAGUAUAAUUAAUUUUACGGUGAACUACCAGAAUAUAACUUCCUUUAUUAAUUGUAAACCAGUGACACAAGGGGAAACAUUUAAAAGUCUGUUUUAAAUUACAGGUGCGCAUUAUGGAUAUCAGUAAGAUCUUAAAUUUUCCUCUGAUUGAAGGCAGUUUAAAGCUUUGACAAAUGCAACAUCACUGUAAUCUCAAAUUUGCAAUAUUUGAUUUAUUUCAAGAAUGCUACAAUGUACUUCUCUAUAAUAUACAGUUACCUAACUCCAGUUUGAAAUAUAAAUAUGGAAAAAUUAACUGCACAGGUUUCUUAGUUAGUUUGUGGUGAUAACCUUGACCCCUGAUCCUGAUAUUAUGCUGUUCGAUAUCACUUGACAAAAUGUAAUGGUUUGAAUGCAUUAGGCUGUAAGAAAAACUGAACAAAAUGAGCAAAAGGAAAUGACAGUUUCAAACCAACGUAAGUUAUAAUAUGUGUAUUUUUUUUGUUCAAAGAUUUCAAGCACUUCCAAAUCUGCAUUGAUUUCUCAAUCAGAAGAAAGAGUGUAUUUAAAUUUUCUGCUUGGUUUCCAGUGAUAUUUCACAGUGACAAUCAUUAAAAGGUGUUGCUGAUAACAGAUCAUACAGUGCUCAAGUGGAGAGAUCCAUGCAAUGUGGUGCUAAGUGGUGCUUUUACUCACCUUUAUCACUGCUAGCCAUAUUAAAAAUUGAAUUAGAUACAAGUAAUAGUUCAGUCUGCAUGCAAGGGAACCAUUAUCACCCAUUCAUAUACUAUCAGCACAAUAAUUUUAUCUGGUGGUGCUUUUUCAGUUAGAAGCACAACAAACCUCAUUAGUUAUUUCAGGAUGAAUGUUCAGUGUGAAUAUGCAUGUACAAAUAUUGGGCCAGAAAGUCUAUUGCACAACGUAAAGCUCACAUGCACUCUCCUAUAGAAUUUCUUCAGAAUACAGAUCACAUUUUUCUUCUGGGGUGCUGUGUAUUUGAAACGCUAUUGCAUUGAGGACGUAGCAUUCAGUGGUGUGGAAUCUGGAUGUUAAUUCUAUAAGCUUCACUGUGAGCUUGGUUAAUUUGGAGAGCACAUAACUGACACCUCUCAUGGGAAGUCCUAAACAAAAUGAACUCAAAAGCAGUCCUAGCAGUCCAGCUCUGGAAAUCAGUUUCAGGUAGGUGCAAUUAAGUACUAAUGUUACUUCUUGUGGUUAUUCUCCACACCUAACUGUGACCAUGAAUCACCCCCAGCCCCACCCACCAUUCAGAGAUUGCCCGUACAUUCCCAGCAGUCGAUACCUAGCCAUUGGGAUUCAAUGGCCGCUGAUUCAACGUCUACUGAUCAAGGCUGUAACCCUUGAAUUCCAGCUGGACAUCACUCUCAUUUCUCAGCCAGCAACUUAUGAACUAAACCAGCCUAGUUUACUAUUACCACUCAGCAGUGGUAGAAUAAACAGAGGAUAGAUGAUGCGCUGCAUCAAAAGUGCAAUUCCUCUUCAGCACCUGAGUUUCAGGUACAAUACUAUUUUUCAUUGGUGGACUCCUACAGCACUCCAAACUUUGAAGAACUUUGAGCUCAAACACAUGUAUAACACUCUUAAAUUUUAGAUUGGUUGAAAAUAUAUAGGAACUGGAUAUCUGUGGAGUUGCUUCCCAAUUAUUUUAAUACAUAUUUAUUUUGUCAUUUUUUGAUGUGUAAGGCAAGAACAAGUCACUUCAGUGAAGAUUUUCAGGUCGAGUCCAGAGGGAGCUUUUUAGACUUUGCAUUGUUCAAGUUUAACUUCAGAGACUUCAACAUGAAUUCUAGACUGAGAAUCCAGCAAAGACCUGCAGGGCUGCUGAAGUAUCUGAGUUGAUGUCUUUCAGAAGGGAUGUUGAACCAUCUAAUGAGAUCUGGUGAUAUUGCUCAAUAUGGAUUACAACAGUAUGCAAUGUUUCAUAUUAUUUCAUUCUAUAAGGCCACUGGUGCCAUCUAAAAAUCACAUAAGUCUGUUUCUCGUACCUACUCAUUGAAACUAUUUAAUAAUUCUCAACAAAAAGCCAACAAGCAAUUCCAUGAUUGUCAAUACAAAAUAUAAUCUCAGUUUUAUAAAAAAACAAAUAAUACAAGUCUAAAGCACAGGAAACCAAAAACUGCCAAUAUGUGGAAAGGAUGAAGGAUUUUAUUGCCCCAGCUCUUAGUUUUAAGCACUUUAAUAGCUCUUGGUCCUUGUUAAAACCAACGGCUUCUAGAUCCCGGAUACACUGUUGGAAUGUUAUUCUUACUGAAGGAUUAUAGAUGCAAUGGGUGAAAAGCAUUCAUAGAGCGUUAAAUGAGCAAUUUAUUUGCUUGUGCCAUUCAUCUGGGUUUUAUAUAGUAUUAGAUUGAAUGUUCAGCGCAAGAGUGGGCCAAUUAGAUCAGCAGCUGUCAUUGGGAAAAUGCAGGAAUCCUUUACAAUUGAUGUAAUAACAGGAUUUUUAGAAAAUUAUGAGUUGAUCAAGCAAUGUCAAUGUGGUUUGAUGAACGGGAAGUCAUGUUUGACACAUUUUCUUUGGACAAUGUAACAAACAAGGUGAAGAAAGAGGAAUCAAUAGAUGUAGUGUACCUGGAUUUCCAGAAGUGAAUUGAUAAUAUAUACAACACAGACAAAAUGCUGGAGGAGCUCAGCAGGCCAGGCAGGAUCUAUGGAAAAGAGUAUAGUCAACAUUUCGGGCAAACACUUCUAUGGAAAAGAUAUCUAGCACCUGUUGAUUUUCUCUUGUUUGUGAUAAAAUAUACAAAUUACUGCACAAAGUACAUGGUGUGAAGGAUAAUAUCUUGUCAUAGAUAGAGUACUGAGUAAUUCAAAAAGAAAUAGGGAGUCAGGACAAAUGGAUAAUUGUUUGUUCAGGGAACAAUGUAGGGGCCUCAGCUCUUUGCAAUCUUAGUGGUCACAAUUAAGGAAUUUAUUUCGUUAUUUUUAUUGUAACUUGUUAUGUCUGCACUUUACUGUUGUUCAGGUGUAGGGCAAUGGGGCUAGGCAGAACGUUAUUUCAGCGCGGGCUAACGUUUCUGUGAGGACUGCUCUAUGACCACUGCUGUCAUGAAAAAAAGUUCACAACUUAAGUCAGUGACAAUAAAUCUGAUUCUGAUUCUGAAGUAUAGUGUAGCCACAUUGGUGGAUGAUGCCAAAGUAAAUUGAGAGGCAAGUGGGUUGGAGCCUUGCCCGGAUAUGGAACUUACCCAUGUACUUUGGUUAAAGUGAUGUGUGUAGGUUCCAUAGGAGAUCAAGGUGCUGGAAAUGGAGUAUACUAUUAGAAAAUGUGAGAUUAUGCAUCUUUAAAGGAAGAAUGAAAAAGCAGAUUAUGAUUUUAAUCAAUUAAGACCACAAAAUACUGCUGCACAAUAGAAUCUAAAGUUAAGACAGAAUGCAGUCACAACAUGUUAUUAGGAAGACUCAUAGAGGGCUGGCCUUUACUUCAAGGAGUAUGGACAAUAAAAGUAGUGAGAUCUGAUGGAAUUUUACAGUACUCUACUUGGAUUGCAUCUGGAGUAUUCUACGUGGUCUUAUUCUCCAUCUUUAUGUAUGCAACUACUUGCAUUAGAAACAGUGCAGAUAAGAUACAUUAGACUUUUUACUGGGAUGAUAGGUGAUCUUAUUGAAACAUGCAAGAAUCAGAGAUAGAUCAACAUGUUGUAUAUUGAGAAGAUGCUUGGAGGCUGGAUAUCUAGAAAAAGGGGUGGGGGGCAUGUUCAGAAUAAGGGUAAUCAAAAGAGAUUCUGAAGAUACUGGAAGUCCAGAGCAUCACAGACAAAAUGCCGGAGGAACUCAGCAGGUCAGGCAGCAUCUGUGGAAAGGGGUGAAGAGUCAAAAUGAAGGUUUUCUGUCUGAAAUGUGGACCCUUUAUUUCUUUCCAUAGAUGUAGCUGACCUGCUGAGUUCCUCAGUACUUUAGGUGUGUUUUUCAGAAUGCUGAUAAGCCAUUUAAAACCAUGAUGAGAAGGAGCUCCUUCUUUCAGUGCAGGGGUUCCCAACCUAGGGUCCACUGACCCCACAACUAAUGAUUGGGUUCCAUGGCAUAAAAAAAGAUCGGGAACCCCAGCCUAGAGGAUUGUAAAUCUCUGUGGAAUUUCCCAACCUAGAGAAGUGUGAAGUGGAAUUUUUGAAAAUAUAUUCAAGGUAGUCACUGAUAGACAAAGUGUAUAUGAAAGAGCAGGAAAGCGGUGCUGAGGCUAAGACUGGACCAGUCAUGAUCUUAUUGGCUUGAAGGCCAGAACCAACCUACUCUUACUCCAUUUUCUUACAUUCAUUUUCAUGAUUUGUCCCAAGCCAUUGUUUAUUUUCAAAGUGAAUAUUCUCAGAUUUGCCUUUAUCUAAUUUAAUUACAAUGAUCUACUUCCUUCUCCCUUAGUAAUUAUUUUGCUUUCACUUGAUGGUACUUGCCUUAACCUCUCCUUGGGAUGGUUUACUUGAAUUCCACAAUUUCAUUACUCUCUAAGUAGAGGGUUUUUCCAACUUCUCAUUACAAGUUACAUUCAACCACCCACCCCCUUUCUUUUAGUGUUCCCCACAACUGGAAUCAUUUUCUUGUGCCUACUCUAUCAAACUCCCUCUUAAUUUUAAAGACUCCUAUUAAAGUGCACGCUAAUCUCGUCUGGUUUUACUUCUCUUUUAAAGUAAGGAGGAAAAUAAUAUGUUUUGUUAUGUGCUGUUCUGGCUUUGUUAGGUAAUGAUUAGAAAAUCAUGGUAUUAGGAAAGGGGAUAAAAUUAUAUGUGGGAUUUUCAUGCAAGCUCCCACAAAGGAAGCUUUCAACAAGGAAAUCUCUAAUUAUUGCAACACAGCAUCUAUUGUCAGAGAGAAAAUUCAAUGUCAGGAAUAUAAACAUAUUCCACAAAUACUAUGAAAUAUCUGUUUCUUUGGUUAAACAUAUCAGCUUAGGACAUCAAAAGUAGCUGUGUUAUGCAGGAGUCCUUAUUCAUUCACAGCAAUUACAAUGUGUUUCUUCAAUCCAUGUGUGAGAUGGACUCAUAUAAUGAACACACAUUGCCUAUGGUAUUCUCAAAGGAAUAAAAGAUGAAUGAUCUGGUGCAGAUAUUCAGAUAAAGUGAAAUUAUUAAGUAUUUUAUGAAAGAGCCAUGUAAAGGCACAUCAUUGCUGUAGUACAUCAAAGUUAUAAAUUGUGCACUUUUAAACAAACUUGUGUAGUGCUUAGUGGGAAGAGAGCUUUCUUGAAAUCACUGUACUUAACAAAUCCAAAACAAUGUGCAAGCUAUUUAUUCAGUCAACCACAAUUUAUAUACCCAUUAAAUAUGCACUUUUAAAAAAGCUGGGUGAUAGUAAUUUUCCAUGAAAUGUAUCACAUUGCAGACAAGCUUUCAAAUUGAUUUUACAUGUGGACUUUUAAAUUUUUUUUUGUUUCCUAACCUUCAGCCAAGUUAAAUAUCAUCCAAGAUGCAGAAUCUGCCCAAGCUGCCCAGAAUUGUUCUUACAGAUCAGUGUGAGUGUGAUGCUUUUUUAUUUGUGCUGUCACAUACAAGUUAGUCUCUCUUUGUGAUCAAUACAUCUGCAUUAACUGUGGUUGUUUUCACAUUGCUUCUAUUUGGAAAGAUAAUAUUUGGCUAAUGUUCUCCACAAGGCUUGCAAGUAAAUUUAUGCACCUGCCUGUUUGAGCAAUUAAAACUUGUGCUGCCAAUGUCUUAAACUGUGAUCAGACUUGAAUGACACAGGAGAGCAAAGCAAACUUACAGAAUUGAAUGAACUGAAUGGGGCUGAACAAAAGUGCAGAGAGAUAUCUAAUAACCAUGAGAAUGUAACUAUGGUUGCUUCAUGAUAAUUCACUGUCAGUUUUUCUGACAUAUAUUUUGAUUCAAAAGAUGUGAGUAUUACUGGUAAGUAUGCAUUCAUUGUCCAUUUCCGACUUCCUUGUGUCGAAGAUUUCAUUGUUAAACAGCUAUGGUAUUUAUCGUGAAGUCAUCCACUUCCAGGAUUUAAAAUUACUUUCUAUGAUGGUUACAAUAAAAUACUUCCUUGUUAGGAUGGUCUCUGGUUUGAUGGAAACAUGUAGGUGUUGCUGUUCGCAGACUGCUAUCCUUGUCCUUCUAGAUUAUAUGAUUGUGGUGUACUGUAGGGGAAGUCAUGAAAGUUGCUACUGUGGACUUUGUAAGUAAUAAGAUCUGCAGCCUUGAUGGGAGAUGGCGUGAAUAUGAUCAGGGUUGGAAGGGAUGCUUCUUGUUAUUGAUGCAUCUGGAUUUAUCAAGGAAAUAUAAACGUAGCCUUCAUACAGAUAAAUUAUGCUUAGAGGAUAUAAAAAGGGUUUGAAGAGUGAAAGAGUUGAAUCAUUGCUCAUGAAUACUCAGCAUUUUACAUACUGUUUAGAAAUCCAGCAUAUCGGAAGAUGAGCCUCUCAAGUUUCUGGUCAAUGGUAAUUCCUGGGACGUUGAUUAUGGGUGAUUCAAACAUAAAAAAUCCAAUUACAAAUAAUAAGAGGUCCUUACCUUGGAGAUUGCUGUUGUUGGAGGUCAUGUGACUUAAUUGUAAAUUCAGCUGCUAGUCAAAUCCAAACACUAUUCAGAUUUUGUUGAAGGUAGGCAUGAUGCAUUUCGAUAUCAAGAGAAUCUGGAGCAAGCGCUCUUCAGAGCACAGUGAAUGCACUAAAUAUAGAGAGAAGGUUAUUGGAGAGCAGCAUGCUGCUGUCAUAAGGAAGAAGUUACAGGAGCCUUAGAACUCACACUACCAAGUUCUGGAGCAGUUAUUUCCCUCCUACCGUCAGGCUCUUGAACUAAAGGGGAUAACUUCACUCAACUUCACUUGCCCCACCACUGAAAUGUUCCCACAACCUACAGACUCACUUGCAAGGAUACUUCACCUCAUGUUCUCAAUAUUUAUUUCUUAUUAUUAUUUCUUUCUUUUUGUAUUUGCAAAGUUUGUUGUCUUUUGCACACUGCUUGAAUGCCCAUAAAUAUCAUGAAUUUCAUGCUUACAAGAAAUAUGUAGUUUGAUAAUAGAUUUACUUUGGACAUUGAAAAUGCUGACUGAAGGAUGAGAAAACACAUUGUGUUACUUAGGUUAUUUAUACUGAUUUAUUUCUCAUUGACCUACGAAACUACUAAUUUAAAUCUUAGUUAUGUAUUUGUCAAAAAAUUAUAAGCCAGAUCAUGCUGAUGACGAUCCAUUGCUUUCAGAGAGAAUAUCUAUCUUCCAUGUACACAUCAAGACACUUCAGAUUUCCAUGUGAAUGUGAGGAAAAUUCUGAUGAGCCAGCAGUAUUUUGUGUCUUACUCAGUUGAAGGACCAGAUACAAUUUAAUUUAAUGUUUGGUCCCAUUAAUUUGAAAGUGGCUCCAAAUAUUCAUUAAAAAUAUGUUCAGUGUUUUUUUUGUUUAUUUCACCGUAAUUAUACAAUUUUAGUUAAUUAACUGACAGAAGUUUUAAGUGCUUAUAUAUAAAGUACUUCAAAUAAAUGUGUUUAUCUUUUUUGAAAAUUAACAUUUCACAUUUAAUUCAUUUAAACAAAUUGGUACUAAUCCAUACCACAAGUCCUGGUUGUGCUACCACUGAUGCCAGGCGGACAGUCUCUGAAGAAUGGCUAAGGUCACCCAUCUUGUAAAAACACGGCCCAGAAGAAGGCAAUGGCAAACCACUUCUGUAGAAAAUCUUCCAAGAACAAUCAUAGUAAUGGAGGAUCAUGAUUACCCGUGUUAUACGUCACAGCACAUAAUGAUGAUGAUGAAGCAAGUUCAUCUAUUUGUAGUCGAUUUUCACUUAAAAACAAUGAAAUUGACAUUUAGCUGCAUGUGCUGUGUGGAGGUGCUUCAAGAGGUAAUGCUUCGGUACCUGAUCACCAACUACAGGCCUCUCCAGUCCACAGGGGUCUACAGGUUUAGCUCAUGUUGUAAGUAUUGGCAAUAUGUUAAAUGAAGCAUGAGUGGCUCCGCAGAGGGAAAUACCAGCAAAAGGGAAAAUUGCUCAAACACUAGAUACUUCGAAUAAAGCACUGAUAAAUUAUGACACUGAACUACAGAAGCCAAACAAUAACAUUUAAGUGGAAGACAACCCAAAUUAAAGUGGUUCAGGUUCAGAUUAGACAGCAUCCUGAUACCUUGCUCAGUCCAGGUUAGUGAAAUGCUUUUGAAACUAUUCGGAGCAAUAGAAAGUUCAGUACUUCUGGAGAAAAUUUCAUAAUCAUGAUGUCAUGAAAUGCUUUAUAGCCCAUGAAGUAUUGUUGCUAUGUAAGUAAGUAACCUGGGAGCUAGCUUGAUCAUUUUAACUAGCAGUGCCAGAAUUUCUUUUUCUUUGUUGUCUCAAUGAAUAAAUAAUUGCCAGUAUGUAAAAGAAGUUGCCUUACUUUUGUUUGUUGGUACUUUUCCUUGAUCUGGCAAGGCCCAUCUUAAGUUAUCCUUAAAACAGCCUCCUGGUUCAUUUCACAGGGCUCAGCCAAACAGACAUAGACCAGACCAGGAAAAGGCAAUAAGUUUCUUGCUGAGGAACUCCGGUGAACAAGAUGUGUUUAGUUUUAAUGCUGUCAUCAGUACUUCUCACGGGUUUUAAUCCCUCAACCAUCAAACUUUUGAAACAGAGGGGAUAACUCCACUCAACUUCUCUCACCCCAUCACUGAACAGUUCCCACAGAUGGGCUCUUUUUUAAAGAAUCUUCAUCUCAUGUUGUCAAUAUUUAUUGCUGACUUAUUUAUUAUUAUUUCUCUUUCAUACAUGGACAGUUUGUUGCCCUUUGCACAUUGUUGUUUGUCGUUUUGGGUGUGGUCUUCCAUUGCUUCCUUUGUGUCUCUUGCAAGAAAAUGAAUCUCAGGGUUGUAUAUAUGUAAUCUGAUAAUAGAUUUACUUUGAACAGUAAAUUAUUAACUGGACUUAUAUUCACAGCUGCAUGGUACAAUUUGCUUGCAGGCCUCUGGAUUGAUAGUCCAGGCUUCUGGAUCAGUAGUCCAGAAAUUUAGUGAUCACAUCACCAGCAUAGGAUUGAUGUCCUCUACCUGAAGAACUGUGGGCUCUAUCAAAGGUGGUGUUGAAUCAGCAUACAGGAGUGAGAUUGAAAAUUUGGCUGAGUGGUGUAACAACAAUAACCUCUCACUCAAUGUCAAUAAGACUAUGGAACUGAUAAUAGACUUCAUAAGAGGGAAAACAGAGGUCUAUGAGUCAGUAAUCAUCAGCGGAUCAGAAUUGGAGAGGGUCAGUAAUUUUAAAUUCCUGGGUAUUACUAUCUCAGAGGGCCUGUCAUAUUAAUAUAAUUGUGAUGAAAGCACAACAGUACCUCUAAUUCUGCAGGAGCCAGUAGAGAUUCAACAUGUCAUCAAAAACCUUGGCAAACUUCUAUAGAGGUGUGGUGUAAAAUGCGCUUACAGCCUGGUAUGGGAACACCAAUGCUUUUGAGUGGAAAAUCCUACAAAAAGUAGAGGAUUUGACCCAGUAAUUCACAGGUAAAACCCUCUCAACCAUUGAGCAUGUCUACAUGAAACACUGUUGUAGGAAAGCAGCAUCCAUCAUCAAAGAUACUCACCACCCAGGCAACGCUCUUUUCUCACCGCUACCAACAGGUAGAAGGUACAAGAGCCUCAGAACUUGCAGCACCAGGUUCAGCAAGAGUUGCUAGCUCUCAAUGACCAAACUCUUGAACAAAAGGGGAGAACUACAGCCAUUUAAGGAUUCUUUUAUCUUGUUAUUUCAUGCUUGUUAUUUAUUGCUAUUUAUUUAUUAUCUGCAUUAUCACAGCUUGUUUACAGUUCACAGUUCCUGUUCUAUAGAUUUACUCAGUAUGCCCACAGAAAUAGAAUCUCGGGGCUGUAUGUGUUGGCACAUAUGUACUCUGAUAAUAAAUUUUGCUUUUAACUUUGAAGCCCCAGCUUAAGACUACAACCAAACUUUCUAAGAAAAAAGUGCUUCCAUGUAGCCUUAUCUAAAGCCAACAAAUGUAUAUAAUUCUGCUAUUGCACACUUCAGAGGCUGAUUAUCAAUAAUUUUAGUAAUAAAUUGGCUUUUUAAAAAAUUAUCAAUGAAACAUUGUUUCAAAUAAUUCACAGACUUCCAAGUUAUUCUCAAAGUUGAAAGUAAAGUUACUAUCAAAGUAUGUAUAUGGCACAUUAUACUACCCUGAGACUCAUUUUCUUGCAGGCAUUCACAAUAGAUACAAAGGUACAGAAUAGAAUCAAUGAAAGACUACACACAAAUAAAGAUGAACAAAUAGCCAACGCACAAAAGAAGAUGAACUGUUCAAAUUCAAAUAAUAAUAAUAAAUGAAAUUAUGUACAAAGAGUCAAGAUCCUUUAUUUUCUAAAUACUGUUGUAUCUUUAAUGUUUGAGUAGGCUGUCCAUUCCUGGGUUUUCUAACAGAUGAUUGCCAUUCUAAUGGUGCAGCACCCACUCAGUUCUACAGCACAGAGUUAGUCUUAAUUAUCUAAUAAAAGUUUGGGUGGAUCCUGGAUAUGCAAACAUCUGUCUUAAUGGUACAGAGUACAAUUAUGCAAGUUUUCCUGCCAUUUGUUCUCGAGCUAUUAACAUUUGUAACAUAUACGUAUUUCCUCAACGCUUUGAUAACAACAAUAAAAAGAAAUUACCAAUUAUUAUUUCACAGAAGUAUAUACAACACAUGAUAGGAACAUGUGACUAAGUGCACCAUUUGGGCCAU